UACGUAGGGUGCAAGCGUUAUCCGGAAUUAUUGGGCGUAAAGAGCUCGUAGGCGGUUUGUCGCGUCUGCUGUGAAAACUGGAGGCUCAACCUCCAGCCUGCAGUGGGUACGGGCAGACUAGAGUGCGGUAGGGGAGAUUGGAAUUCCUGGGUGUAGCGGUGAAUGCGCAGAUAUCAGGAGGAACACGAUGGCGAAGGCCAGAUCUCUGGGCCGUAACUGACGCUGAGGCAGACGAAAGCAUGGGGAGCGAACGG
rnacentral:rRNA from 1 species